rnacentral:lncRNA from 10 species
CGCGUGCGCGUCUCUGAAACGGGGACUUGGGAGCGCGCGCUGCCCCUCACUUGGCUGCAACUGGACCCAGAACUAGGGAAGAGGCCAGGGACAGAUUUUUUUUUUUUAUUUUUAUUUUUUUUGCCGAGGGACGUUUCAAAAUUUUGCACGGCCAGGGUGACAAAAAGAGGAUUUAAGAGCCACAAGCGGUCCGCACAUGACCCAGACUUCGUUCCUGUGCGGCUUCCAGAGGUGUUCAUGCAGAAGACUGGAUGCAGGACCCUUGGUGGCACCAGUGUGCAGAUGAGCAGAUAGUGACUGAUUGCCACUGGGAUGAAAUUUUUAAAAAAGAACCUUGAAGUCUGUGAGUGACCAAUCAAAGAUGAAAAUUAAUAAUGGAAGACCUGGGAUAUACAAUCAAGUCUAAAGCCUAGAUAUCUGGUUAUUUUAGAAAAGCUUCAUAGGCAAGUGUCAGUGGAGCUGUGUUAUUUGAGCUGAGCUGCACCUUGAAGAACCAAAAAAAUUAUAAAUGGACAAAUAAGACCAAGUGCCUACACCAAAAGAAUUCUAAUGCUUAGAAGAGUUGCAGAAUAAAAUAUGUUGCAUGGGAUGUCAAUAGUAAAGGUCAAGAUAGAGGACAAAGAAACACAGAGGAAGGAGGUUAAUGGAAUGAGAGAAGAAAGUAUUUUUAGAGGAAGUUGAUAUUUCACCUGAGUUGUAAAAGGCUAUAACAAAAUAUAAUAAACUGGGUACCUUAGAAGCAACGGAAAUUGAUUUCUCAUCGUUCUAGAAGCUAGGAAGUUCACGAUCAAGGUAGCAGCAGAGUUGGUGCCUGCUCUGGAGGCUGGAAAUCCAACAACAGAGUGCCAGCAUGAUCAGGUUCUGGAGAGGACCCUCUUCCUGUUUGCAGACUGCUGACUUCUUAUUGUAUAUUCCAAUGGUAGAAAGAGAGCAAGAGAACUCUCUGGAGUCUUUUUUUUAUAAGGGUGCUAACCCCAUUUAAGGAGGUUUCCCCUCAUAAUCUAAUUAUCUCUCAAAAGCCAUACCUUUCAACACCAUUGCAUUGAAGGUUAGGAUUUCAACAUGUGAAUUUGUAGUGGGGUGACGGGGAGAGGGACACACAAAUAUUUAGUCCAUAAUGCAUACUAACAAAAACUGGGGUAAAAGGUCACUGAAGUGAAUCCUUGCAGUAUUAAAGGACACGUUAUACUUCAUUUAUCCUUUUGGUCCAUAAAUAUUGAGCACACACUAUGAGCUAAAUUCUAGGUGCAUGUUAGAGCAUUGGUGGUACCACAAUAAAAUAGCCUUUUUCCCUAUCCUCAGGGAUUUUACAAUUUUGUGAAAGAGUUAUGCAGAUAGGCAGUUAACCUGCAGGUGGUGAUUGCUCACAAAGAGAAAAGCAGGGGGCUGUAAAAUUAGAGAAGCUAAGCUCACUUACCCUGUAUGGAGUUGGAUACAGAAUGUUUGCUAGAGGAAGUGGUGCCAAGUAGAUUUAGAUAAAGAAGAAGGUGGUGAUGAGAGGACGGAAGUGAUCGAAGGAAUGAAAGGUAGUAGAAAGGAAAUAGCACGCGAGAAGCUGUAGGAGAAAGGAGAAAGCGCACUUCCUGGCAAAAGGGAUAGCACACACAUAGGUUAGAGGUAAAAGGGCACAGCAAGGCUGCAGAGGCCUUGGGAGCUCAGCAUGAUUCGAAUGCAGUUGUACAGGAGGACUGGCACACACUCUGCUUCUUGGAGGUUACAGCAACUGCUACUCUCUGAGGGUUGUGUUACUUAUCUAUCUACUCAUCUAACAACAUGUCAUAACACACUGAGGGAAUUCCUCCAGACCUUUGAACAAAAAUGUUCUAACUUGAUUCAAAAUAAUUUAUACUCAACAUUCUUAGUAUCUUGCUUCAAAAAUAAAUGGACGAAGAAUAGUAUUCUGGCUACAGUUCCGUGUAACAAAUUGCCCAACUGUAGUGGCUUAAAAUGACAAUUAUUUUAUUAUGUUCACAUAAGUGUAGGUCAGGGGCUCAUAAAGGGCUAAGGGAGGAAGCUUUGCACACAUCUAUGGUGUGAGGCUACCUCCUAGACAAGACAAGUAAUGGACCACUUGGCUUGUUUAGUGACUGUGUGGUAAACAGGGGCAUGUGAGAGUUUGCUUAAAGGCAGACUUCCUCCUCUGGUCAGUUUGGUCCAGCCCAUUCAAUUGUGCCUUGCCUGGCCUUCCAGUUUCUGAAUUCCUACUUAACAUCUGAGAUGGCUUGACCCUCAUUCUGCACGAGAGUUUAUAAAUGAACUUUUGUGACUGCACCAGACUUCUAAUGUCACAAUGGCUCCGCCUGCAUACCCUUCUACUCUAUGUGGUUUCAUUCUUCUUCCCUUCCUGCUCAGAAUUAAGUCUGAAUUGAAGCUCCAAUAGUCUCAUAGAUAUUCUCAUAGAUAUAGAUAUUCUCAUAGGUAUUCUUAUAUAUCUUGGUUCAUUCCUGAGGGUUCUUGAACCUCUCAGUUAUUUUUUCUUCUUUCACCCCUGCAUAAUUUGAGAAAGCUUAUCAAAGCUGGGAAUAGGAACCAUGUCUCACUGGUUUCUUUUAAAAUUUCUAUUUAAAAAUAUUUACUUAUUUUUUUGAACAGGUAAUAUAUUCACAUAGAUAAAAAUCCUAAGAUGAAAAUAUAAAUAAAUAGGUUCCCUUCCUCCAUACCAUGUGCAUCAUAAAUCCCCCCAAUUUGUCUAGUACAGGUUCUCAAAACAUUUACUGAAUUUUUAUAGUCAAGUUCCUCAAUACGUACACCUAGUACAUUGGUUGGAUUUACUAUAAAGCUGAUGAAUCUUAAGCCUCAGGGCUCAUCACCUUCUGGGGCUCCUUCCAGGUCCUCUUCCAGAAUCAUCAUCAACUUGCUUCUAUGCCUUUGUAAAAUAUACAAUUGUAAUACAUUUAAACCACAUCAUUUCCGUCUGUUGCCCCUUUCCACUGCAACCCCUUGGCAUACUCUGCCUCCUAUAAAGGGGCAUUAGAGUAGCCUGUGGCAACUUUAGGAUAUAGAAAAGGGGAAAUUGAAAUGGGAGUACAUUUUAUUUGGGUUUAGUGAGAGUUUAUGUGCUUUGCAGUCUUUUUGUAAAUAGCUAAGUAAUUGUUAAGUAUGGCAAUGUCAGUUCUAUUCCUAACUGCUCGCCAUGAAGUUUACUUAGUAUCAUAAUGUGAACCUGCAGGGCCAGAGUUAUUCUGCUAUAUAUAAAAGUGCCCUAUAGCAUCUACAAUUGGGAGUACGUAAUGGAAAAGAAGAUAGUAGCUAUUAAUACGAAUAUUGUUAUUUUUCUGAAUUUUGUGAUGUUUGUGGUAUCCAUCAGCACUUUUAUAUUUGUAAAUUUUUCCCAUUUCUUUUCUUCAUUUUCUAAACACUUUUCAUACAAUUUAUUUGUUACUUUGCAUUCCUUUUUUCUUAGUGCGGUGUCCAAAAUUGUAAGAAUCCUUUAUCCCACAAAAAAUUGAUCCUGUCUUUUACAGAAUUGCCCAGCAGAUGUCUUUUUCAUUUCCUUUGCUUGUGGUUUGCCCAUCUGUCAGCUGUGAAUGACCCAAACAACGUGACACGCUAUUUCUAACUCAACAGUCCUGGAACUUUCUUGACCUUUGACAAAGCCAUCAGAUCACCAUCACCAUCAUUAUUGUUUAUAGAAACAUGAAAAUUCAACCAUAAAAAGUCAUCUUGGGCUGAGCAUGGUGGCUCUAACAUGUAAUCCCAGCACUUUGGGAGCCUAAGGUGAGAAGAUCACUUCAGGCCAGGCAUGCUUAGCAGGUAUGCUCACUCUUUCACUAACCUUGAGAGACAUUGUCAGAUGUGCAUAAGGGAAGAACAUGAAGGACGACGGAUAAACUGUACACAGACACAGCACAUGGAGUCUGAGUCAUUUGUUUUCUCUGACAGAUCUUUACCAUGCUGGAUUGGAAGAGAAAAGACCAUCACUAAAGCAAAUGGAUCAAAUGGAGUUAUAAAUCAACUCUGUACUCUACAGGAUUGACUCAACUGCAGACAUCUCCAAUACACUCCCUCAUGGCUUUAUUUUUUCUGCUUAUGUGGAAAAAUAACAGUAAAUACAGUUAACUAUCCCAAGACAGAAGAGUAUUAUUAAAAAAGAAUACAACGUUAUUGAUUUUUCAAGACAUAAUCAGAUAUUUUUAAACUCUGAUUUAAUAAAACAUAAUGUAAUUUCUUUUGUGGGAUUUUUUAUGCUUUCCCAAUGUUUAUUACCCUGUGUGUUUCACACUUCAAAAUGAGAGUAUCGUAAUAAGAUCACUUGAGAGGAUCCUGAUCUAAGUUACAAAAUCCCCAUGGCCUUUAUAUCCACAUUGUCACAUUCCCCCAGUCAUCUCUUUCUACUUUAUUGUAUCUAUUACACUUUACACUUAUUUAUGUUUUUCUAUUUACUUUAUAUAUACAAUAUCAUGGGGUACAUAGUGUAAGAGGAAGGAUGGCACUAGCAAGUAUUCCUAAGUUGGUUUAGGGAAUGGGAAUAAGGGUA